GAAAAAUAGAGAGUGUGUGUCAAACUGCUGGAAUGAGUAGGGGGGUAACCCCUGUUGAAUGAAAUAUAAGUAGGAGGAAAAAUACAACGUAAACCUGAGGAGUGCACAUCCAGUAUAUCCUAGUGCACCUACAGGAUACUUGUAUAGAAGUCAGCAGUCUCAAAAUUAAAAUAUAACUUUUAAUAAUUUAGAUUUAAAAAUAUAUACGUGGUCGGUGAGGACAGAACUUACAAAAGUAAGGAGGAAGGAGAUAUGCUUGCUAGUAUCAAAUAGUGGCACAAAUAAAAGAGAGUGCAGGAGGGAGGGGGUUGAUAGAGAAAAUCUGAACUCCAACUAAUCCCCAGCGUACCCUCUUUUGCCUAAAGCAACCCAAAAAGCCCAAAGUUAGCAAAGUCACUAACUCCUAGCUCUAAAACUUAAAUAAUAAGCCUGACGGUAGAAAUAGCUGCCUAAUCGAAGAAAAACUGUCCUAACUAAAAACCAAAAACGGGUAGAGAGAUCUCGAGGGGGGUGACUAAAUAUAAAGUAAUGAAUUUUGCAGGAGCGUCCUCCCUAUCUGUCAGAUUCACCCUCCCCCUCAGUUCUUCCCGACGCGCGUUUCGCCGACUAGCGGCUUUUCAAGGGAACCGGGUGUAGGAGAGAUCGAGGUUUAAAUAUCCCGCCCUCUCUUGUGAUUGGCCCGAAGUACUAGCCUGCACGGAGGGAGGGAGCUUGGGUCUCAUCUGUGAUUAACCCUUUUAGGGUCAAAAACAAGUGUAUACACGGAUGGGACACUCACUUAAAUAAAGGAGAAAAAUGUCAUUAAAAAUGUUCAGUAUUGGAACGAACGAUGAAUUAAUUCAGCUAGAGCUGCAAUGAUACUUGUAGUGGUACUCUACACAAUGUUAAACAAAAAAGAUACUGCUAGAAUAGUAAUCAUGUUAAGAUUUAUUACAAAAUAAAUUAAUGUUUCAGCAACGAAAGUUGCAACUUAUAAGAUAGUGCUUCUUCUAAUAUGUAUUGGUAUGAUGCCAAUAAUAUUAAAAGCACUUAUACACUAAAGGUAUUUAACUUGUGUCAAAUGUAUAGUAAAGGUAUUUCCACUUAUUUAAAGGGAAACACAUAGUGAUUAAAUGAAAUCACACUAGUAUAGAUAGUUACUGAGAGGUGUAUAGAAAAAGUAGGUUUAAAUCCUUUCUAAUUGAUUGCAUAAAUACUAAUUUGCCAAUAUGACAGCUGGAGUUCUUCACUACAUAUAGUGUAAGCUUCCGAACCAUUCCUAUACGGCAAUUUAAGACACUAACCAUCUCUAAGUAUGAAUAAACGGAGUAAAGUUAAACUCCUCGUUUAAUCCUUUGGGGUAUAGUGUUUGGAAAGAGUAAAU